rnacentral:sRNA from 1 species
AAUUGUAUCUAUUAUUCUUACAAUGGAUAUGGUCAGAGUUUUCCUAUUUUAGAAUCCAAAGGGCUUUCAUUACAUGUUUUGUCAUUAAAAUAGUCAGCUUUGAUCAUAUCCUUGAUAUAGAUUGGUUUUAUUUCUUUGGAAAAUCAACACAUUGGAGAAGUUCAUUAAAUUGUUUAAUUUUUUAAUGAAUUUUUAUUUUAUUAUUAGUUAUGACUUUUUGUGGAGUAAUUGUUCUUUGUUGACAAACACAUGACGUAAGUCAACAUGAUUUUAUUUAACUCAUUAAAAUCCAUAAAAAUGUUUAAACGAGGUUUUUUUUCUAUUUUAAGUUUUUAAAUACUAAUGUCACCCCAUUUUGUUUUAUUCAGAUUCAUACAUGUGUCUUUUCAUUUACAUUUAUAUGCAACUGUGUGAUGAGUCAUUCUCUGUCAGACCUUUGACAUGUAGAAUUAAUUUUCACAAGUUAUAAGAUGAAUUUUUCUAUGAUUUGAAUAUUAGACUGUGAUCUGUUUUUAAUGUCAAAAUGUGUUGAAAGUUUUAGUGGGUUAUCAGGCUGCAAUCUAACAUUUAUCACUUAACAAUACUAGAAGCUCCCUGUCAGUUUUAGACAUUUUGUACUCUACAAGUCUUGUUUUAACUGUGAGCUUGUGAUUCCCUCAAAACUCUGACAUCUAAGGUUAGAACUGUUGUUUAUGUCAGGAACAGUAACUGCGGAAAGACUCCCCCUCCUAGAUGUCACUGUGUGUACCCUGGCUAUUUGUUGCUAGGUGAGAGAAGUUUUCAUUUUCAAUCAUGAUGCAUUGCAAGCAAAAUUUCUAAAUUCAAUGUAUGUGUGGGUUGUUUUGUGUACUUUUCCCCAUUAAUUUGAUUUUGUUUUUUAAAGAAAGUGUAUUCUGUUGAGUUAUAUUUUUGAUCUUAAAUGAAUUUCUGAUCUCAUAGCUGCUUUUGGGAAGUAUGAGUUUUUUUCUUUACUUUAUUCUUUUAUAUUCUACUGUAAUGCCAAUAUUUAUAUCAGAAACAAUGUAUCCUCUUCCUCCAUAAAAAUUUCUCAAAUUUUGUUGACAAUAAUUUGAGGCACUCCAUCUUAUUGUAAAAUUUAGCUUAUCUGAGUGUGUGAUUUUCUUUUUCUUUCUUGGUACUGAAUGUGAACACUUGAUUGAUUGUGUUUGUCUGGAGGGGGAGGAGUGUAGUAUGUUGGGCUGAUGUCUUACUGUACAUUCUGUGUGCCCCCUUAUUUUAUUGUCGUCUAAAUGUAACACACUGGAACUGGUUGCCUUUUUAUGAAUUGUAAAUAAAUAUGUCAUGGGACGACCAGUCCAAUCAUAGCAU